rnacentral:rRNA from 1 species
GAUGAACGCUGGCGGCGUGCCUAAUACAUGCAAGUCGAGCGAAUGGAUUAAGAGCUUGCUCUUAUGAAGUUAGCGGCGGACGGGUGAGUAACACGUGGGUAACCUGCCCCUAAGACUGGGAUAACGCAGGGAAACCGGGGCUAAUACCGGAGAACAUUUUGAACCGCAUGGUUCGAAAUUGAACGGCGGCUUCGGCUGCCACUUAUGGAUGGAACCGCGUCGCAUUAGCUAGUUGGUGAGGUAACGGCUAACCAAGGCAACGAUGCGUAGCCGACCUGAGAGGGUGAUCGGCCACACUGGGACUGAGACACGGCCCAGACUCCUACGGGAGGCAGCAGUAGGGAAUCUUCCGCAAUGGACGAAAGUCUGACGGAGCAACGCCGCGUGAGUGAUGAAGGCUUUCGGGUCGUAAAACUCUGUUGUUAGGGAAGAACAAGUGCUAGUUGAAUAAGCUGGCACCUUGACGGUACCUAACCAGAAAGCCACGGCUAACUACGUGCCAGCAGCCGCCGUAA